CAGUCGCCGCGGGAAUACGAAGGGGGCUAGCGUUGCUCGGAAUCACUGGGCGUAAAGCGUGCGUAGGCGGUUUGUUAAGUCUGCUGUGAAAUCCCCGGGCUCAACCUGGGAAUGGCAGUGGAUACUGGCAAGCUAGAGUGUGUCAGAGGAUGGUGGAAUUCCCGGUGUAGCGGUGAAAUGCGUAGAGAUCGGGAGGAACAUCAGUGGCGAAGGCGGCCAUCUGGGACAACACUGACGCUGAGGCACGAAAGCGUGGGGAGCAAACAGGAUUAGAUACCCCAGUAGUCCCUGUCUCUUAUAC
rnacentral:rRNA from 1 species